rnacentral:ncRNA from 1 species
UCAUCGAUUAUGAAGUGAGGAGUAAUAUUUAUUACUGGUUAAAGAGAGCUAGGAAUGGUGGGAACUAGCACUAAGUGAAAUAUGAAUAACAACACUGAAUCCCCUUUUUGAAAAUAGUAGGAAAGGGCGGGUAAAUCCGUUAUAGUAAAUGAGAUAUCAGUUAAUGAUAAGAAGAGUGGUACCGCGGUAAUACGCCUCUUUA